UACGUAGCAGCGAGCGUUGUUCGGAAUUACUGGGCGUAAAGAGUGUGUAGGCGGUGCUCUAAGUUCGGUGUGAAAUCUCCUGGCUCAACUGGGAGGGUGCGCCGGGAAACUGGAGUGCUUGAGCGUGGGAGAGGAAAGCGGAAGUUCCUGGUGGUAGCGGUGAAAUGGCGUAGAGUAUACAGGAGGAACACCUGUGGUGU
rnacentral:rRNA from 1 species